UACGAAGGGGGCUAGCGUUGUUCGGAUUUACUGGGCGUAAAGCGCACGUAGGCGGAUUGUUAAGUCAGGGGUGAAAUCCCGGAGCUCAACUCCGGAACUGCCUUUGAUACUGGCAAUCUUGAGACUGGAAGAGGUUAGUGGAAUUCCCAGUGUAGAGGUGAAAUUCGUAGAUAUUGGGAAGAACACCAGUGGCGAAGGCGGCUAACUGGUCCAGUACUGACGCUGAGGUGCGAAAGCUAGGGGAGCAAACGGG
rnacentral:rRNA from 1 species